GAUGAACGCUGGCGGCGUGCCUAAUACAUCCAAGUCGAGCGAACAGACGAGGAGCUUGCUCCUUCGACGUUAGCGGCGGACGGGUGAGCAACACGUAGGUAACCUACCUAUAAGACUGGGAUAACUUCGGGAAACCGGAGCUAAUACCGGAUAAUAUUUCGAACCGCAUGGUUCGAUAGUGAAAGAUGGCUUUGCUAUCACUUAUAGAUGGACCUGCGCGGUAUUAGCUAGUUGGUAAGGUAACGGCUUACCAAGGCAACGAUACGUAGCCGACCUGAGAGGGUGAUCGCCCACACUGGAACUGAGACACGUUCCAGACUCCUACGGGAGGCAGCAGUAGGGAAUCUUCCGCAAUGGGCGAAGGCCUGACGGAGCAACGCCGCGUGAGUGAUGAAGGUCUUCGGAUCGUAAAACUCUGUUAUUAGGGAAGAACAAACGUGUAAGUAACUGUGCACGUCUUGACGGUACCUAAUCAGAAAGCCACGGCUAACUACGUG
rnacentral:rRNA from 1 species